GAGCUAGAGUGUAGUAGGGGCAGAGGGAAUUCCUGGUGUAGCGGUGAAAUGCGUAGAGAUCAGGAAGAACACCGGUGGCGAAAGCGCUCUGCUGGGCUACAACUGACACUGAGGGACGAAAGCUAGGGGAGCGAAUGGGAUUAGAUACCCCAGUAGUCCUAGCGGUAAACGAUGGAAACUAGGUGUGGCCUGUAUCGACCCGGGCCGUGCCGGAGCAAACGCGUUAAGUUUCCCGCCUGGGGAGUACGCACGCAAGUGUGAAACUCAAAGGAAUUGACGGGGGCCCGCACAAGCGGUGGAGUAUGUGGUUUAAUUCGAUGCAACGCGAAGAACCUUACCAGGACUUGACAUCUCUGGAAUCUCUCUGAAAGGAGAGAGUGCCUUAGGGAACCAGAAGACAGGUGCUGCAUGGCUGUCGUCAGCUCGUGUCGUGAGAUGUUGGGUUAAGUCCCGCAACGAGCGCAACCCUCGUCGUUAGUUGCCAUCAUUAAGUUGGGAACUCUAGCGAGACUGCCGGUGACAAACCGGAGGAAGGUGAGGAUGACGUCAAGUCAGCAUGGCCCUUACGUCCUGGGCGACACACGUACUACAAUGCUAAGGACAGAGAGCAGCCAACCCGCGAGGGAGAGCGAAUCUCAGAAACCUUGGCACAGUUCAGAUUGCAGGCUGCAACUCGCCUGCAUGAAGGAGGAAUCGCUAGUAAUCGCAGGUCAGCAUACUGCGGUGAAUCCGUUCCCGGGCCUUGUACACACCGCCCGUCACACCAUGGAAGUUCGCCACGCCCGAAGUCAUUACUCUAACCCGCAAGGGGGGAGGGUGCCGAAGGCAGGGCUGAUGACUGGGGUGAAGUCGUAACAAGGUAGCCGUACCGGAAGGUGUGGCUGGAUCACCUCCUUU
rfam:Planktothrix tepida PCC 9214 isolate BBR_PRJEB10993 genome assembly, scaffold: BBR_B_PL9214_scaffold143